AGCAGUUUUAGGCUCAGCAAAACAGAGCAGAAGGAACAGAGAUUUCCCAUAUACAUGUACAACCUCCAUGUUAACAAUAUCCCCAACCAGAGUGAUAUCUUUAUUAAAACUGAUAAACUUACAUUGACAAAUCAUAAUCACUUACAGGCCAUAGUUCACAUUAGGAUUCAGUCUUGGUGUUGUAUAUUCUGUAGGUUUGGACAAAUGCAUAAGAAUAUGUAUUCAUCAUCAUGGUAUCAUACAAAGUAGUUUCACUAACCUAAAAGUUUCUUUACCUACUCACUCCUCCCUUCCUGCUAAACACUGGCAAUGACUAAUCUUUUAAAUUCUGCCUUUUCCAUAAUGUCAUACAGUUGGAAUCAGAAAAUAGAGCUUUUCAGUUUGUCUUCUUUUAUUUAGUGGUAUGCAUUUAAGUUUCCUCUUUAAGUUUUUAAGGAAAUAUCACAAAUAUUUUCUGAAUACAAACUCUGAUCUUUAAAAUUAAUCUUGCCUCUUUCUUCCAAGAGCAGUAAACUUCUAAAAAUAAACACUGAAAGCUCUCAGAACAAAUUUAGAGCUAUUUAGGGAAAACAUUACCAAAUCUGAGUGAAGAUUAUUUAUGGUUAAAAUUAUAUUAGAAACAUAUUUAGAAACAAUGACCAGACUGUUUAGCUUUUCAAUUAUGAUCCCUAAUCCCAUAUGGAAUCCUGAAAUUAUCAAACUUAUUAAAGCAAAUGCAUUAAUUCUCUUCUUUCAUGAUUCAUUAAUUCAAUCAUUUCUUAUUUUAAAAAUGAGGUUAAUAAAAAUCUCAAAAUAUUCCUAAGGAUAUUCUACAUCAGAAUUUUUAAAUUCUUAGAAGAUAAUCUCUCUAGCACUCAUAGAACUUACUAUUUAUGAGUCUGUUUCAACUAUGUGUGAAGAUGCCCGUCCACCCAUCUUGACUACAACCUCUAAGCAUGUAAGAAUCAAGUAAGACAAUAUUUCUCUUCCACAUAUACAGAUCCAUACAUAUUUACUUUGGCUAUGAGUUGUGGGGGGAUAAGACUUGCCCACAGCUGAGAGGGCAACAGUGCUCUCAAGAAAUACAGGAAAUAUUUCCUCAGUGCCCCAGGAAACACAGAAGGUAGGGCUAUCAUCCUAGUAGGCUCAGAGGACAGAGCAUUAUCGAUAUAAGGAGAAUUAAUUUUGAAACUUAAAAUCUACCAGAAUUUGCCCUGUCAGGUUUUGAAUUUGCUUCGAAUACAUAAUUCCUUUUUUUAUCCCAACCUUCUCCCGUUUGCAAUGGAAAUUUCUAUCCUAUGCCUGUACCACCAUAGCUUUUUGGAAGCAGAUAACUUGGCUGGUUUCAAAGGUUCGUGGCUAGAGAGGAAUUCUGCCUCAAGACAAAUCAUACUGAAUCUCAUUCAUGGUUGAUUUUUAGACAUUUAGAUGAACUCUUGGACUUAGAGCUCAUGGUGGAAUGGAUUGAUACAUUGGGGGCUGGUGGGAUGGGGUAGGUAUGUUUUGCAUGAAAGAAGGACAUGAAUUUUGGGAUGGAGGGAAGAAUGUCAUAGGUUGAACUGUGCGCCUGCCAAAAUUCAACUGUUGAAAUCCCAACCUCCAGUCCCACAGAAUAUAACCAUUUUUAGAAAUAAAGUCUUUCAAGAGCUGAUUAAGUUAAAAUGAGGACAUUAGAGUAGAGCUCUCUAAUCCUUUAUGUAGUGUCCUUAUAAAAGACAAGAAGGAUGGGUGGGCACAGAGACAACACUGUGUAAAGUCACAGUAAGAAGAUGACCGUCGGUAAGCCAAGAACAGAGGCCCCAGAAUGAAAUCAACACUGUCAACACUUUUAUCUCACUUAUACUUCUAGACUCUAGAACUGUAAGAAAAAUUUAUUUUGUUUAAGCUACUUUGUGCAUAGCAUUUUAUUAUAGCUACCUAAGUAACUGAUAUGCCUGCCAUUUACACUAUCCUGGAACUACUACUGGAUGAGUAUACAUGCCAUACUCCUUCAGGGACAAACGUGCAAUGGCUCCUUUUCUCAGGGAUUGUGUUUGGUUUUUGUUUGUUUUUUUCUUUUUAGAGCCACACCUGCAGCAUUUGGAAGUUUCUGGGCUAGGGAUUGAAUCAGAGCUGCAGCUGCAGGCCUACGUCACAGCCAAGGCAGCAGUGGAUCUAAGCAGCAUCUGUGACCUGCACCAUCACUCAUAGCAAGGCCAGAUCCUUGACCAACUAAGUGAGGCUAGGGAUUGAACCCACAUCCUCCCAGACACUGUGUCAGGUUCUUAACCUGCUAAGCCACAACAGGCACUCCCUGAUCAUGUUUUUGUUCAGAAGGAGGGUUGAUAGCAUGGGUCCAGCCCCUCUCAUGUCUUAGGAUUCAAGUUACACAGAGGCUGAGAUCAACCAGAUGGGCAAUCAAACAACCAAAUAAUUAUGCCUACAUAACGGAGCCCCAAUAAAAACUCUGACCACCAAACUCAGGUGAUUUCCCUGGUUAGCAAUACUAUGUGUCAUGUCACACAUUAAUGCUGAGAUGGUAACGUGUGCUGACUCCACAGGGAAAGGACAAAGGAAUUUCAAGUAUGGAUCCCUCCCAAACUCUACCUUAUGUAUGUCUUCCUUUGGCUGAUUUUAAUCUGUAUCUUUUGCUGGGUGCAUAACAGAUUUUAGUGAGAUCUAUGAGCCCUCUUAACAAACCAUCAAACCUGAGUAGUUUCUGGAAACCCUCAAAUUUGAAGUUGAUGUCAGAAUUAAAUACAGUCUUGGAGAUGGUGCCCUCAGACACUACCAUAGCAACAUUUCAUCUAAAUGCCCAAAAACAUUAAUCAUGAUUACCUUCAGUGAACCAUAAUACAUAAUCCUAAUUGGCCUGCAGUUCUAAAUUCAGGGUGAUUCUGUCUCUCACAAGAUAUAUGACAGUAUCUGGACACAUUUUUGGUGGUCUCAACUAAGGGAUGCUACUGGAGUCUAGGGAACAGAGGCCAGGGAUGUUUCUAAACAUCCUACAAUGCACAGCACUGCCCCCACAACAAAGGAUUAUCUGAUCCAAAGUGUCAAUGGCAUCAAGUUUGAGAACCCCCUGCAUUAUGUCCUUGAAUCAUGACAUGAAACCCCAAAUCUGAGAUGACAAUUCUGAAAGUAGUAAGGAGACAGCAACUGAAUCCCAAAGGCCAAUGUUCAAAUGUUUGCUCCACUUAAACCACCAUGCUUUGACAACUGGCAAACUUUUAAAUCUCUGGCCCCUCAAUUUCCUAAUUUGUAAAAUGAAACUAACAAUUAAGAUUUACCCCACAGAAUUUUUUAUGGAAGUCUUAAAAUGAGUGAACAAAGUAUUUGGACCAAAGUAAGUACUUGCUGAAACUCUUAUGUCACUUCAUUUUCCUUAUAAAUGAAAGCCAUUUAAAAUAUUUUUUUUCUUGCACUGACUGGAACACUGAUAAUAGCAGGUUGAUAAUUGGUUUUACUUGAUUUGAUGCAAAAUAAAUAGAUGAUAACUCCUUGGUGUCAUAAAUAUCAACUGCCAACAAAUAUUUCUGUAUUUCUAACAAAUAUUUCUAAAUAUUUCUUUCUAUGCAAACUUUGUCUUCUUGGAGUUCCCACCAUGGCACAGUGGGUUAAGAAUCUGACUGCCCCAGCAUGGGUUGCUGCAGAGGUGUGGGUUCGAUCCUGCAGCAUGACACAGUGGGUUAAUGGCUCUUCGGCUUUAAUUCCUGGCCCGGGGACUUUCAUAUGCCACGGUUGCAGCCAUAAAAUUAAAAAACAAAAGCAAAAAACUGCCUCUCUGCCCAUGAUUUUUUUUCUCUUUCCUUUCAUCAUCAGUACAAGUGAUAGCUUUUUUGUGUGCUCCCUCUCUACCAAGAAACCAAGUUUAUAUCAUACAGCAGAGUUACUUUAGAGGCAAUGACAAAGAAAAUAAACCAAGCAAUCCAAUCCAGUGCUAGGCAGACAUCUGAACAAAAGCACCUGUUAAAUCCAACCACCAGGUAAGCAACCUCCUCCUACAUAACCAUCUCCCAGAAAAUUACAAAUUGCCCAAUACUUGAGAUCAUUAAGGGCACACCACAGACUUGUGCAUGUUAAACCUGAGAACUUAAAAGAUUUAAUUUGUUUCUCUCUGUCUCUGUGUCUUCUACCACCCUCUCUGCUAAAGCAAAUUCCUCAAAAAAAAAAAAAAAAAGGCAUAGCUUUUCCCUUUCAGGCCCCCAAACCUAUCAUUACACCUGGCAUGCUAUAUAUGUUAACUCCUAUCUCUUGGAUGGAUGAGAGAACAAAUAGAUUGAUGGCCAAAUAGAUGAAGUAUAAGAGCAAAUGGAGGAACAAACAAAAGAACAAAUAAAUGAAUAAUUAAAAUGUA
rnacentral:lncRNA from 1 species